AUUGAACGCUGGCGGCAGGCCUAACACAUGCAAGUCGAGCGGUAGCACAGAGAGCUUGCUCUCGGGUGACGAGCGGCGGACGGGUGAGUAAUGUCUGGGAAACUGCCUGAUGGAGGGGGAUAACUACUGGAAACGGUAGCUAAUACCGCAUAACGUCGCAAGACCAAAGAGGGGGACCUUCGGGCCUCUUGCCAUCAGAUGUGCCCAGAUGGGAUUAGCUAGUAGGUGGGGUAACGGCUCACCUAGGCGACGAUCCCUAGCUGGUCUGAGAGGAUGACCAGCCACACUGGAACUGAGACACGGUCCAGACUCCUACGGGAGGCAGCAGUGGGGAAUAUUGCACAAUGGGCGCAAGCCUGAUGCAGCCAUGCCGCGUGUAUGAAGAAGGCCUUCGGGUUGUAAAGUACUUUCAGCGGGGAGGAAGGUGCUGAGGUUAAUAACCUCAGCAAUUGACGUUACCCGCAGAAGAAGCACCGGCUAACUCCGUGCCAGCAGCCGCGGUAAUACGGAGGGUGCAAGCGUUAAUCGGAAUUACUGGGCGUAAAGCGCACGCAGGCGGUCUGUCAAGUCAGAUGUGAAAUCCCCGGGCUCAACCUGGGAAC
rnacentral:rRNA from 1 species